UAUUUUCGUACUGCUACGGAAACGACGGUGGGCCAUCGGGGAGAGGGGAUGGCAAAUAACGGGAAUCUAUCGUCUCAUUUCUGUGCAAUUCUUGGUGUUCCGGAACAGGUGUCACUAUUUUUCCGGCCUUUGGUUGCGUUACAGGGUAUUGACUUUCGUUCCGCGUUCCAGUUUUUCUUUGUGUUGUUGAUAUUACUACCAAUAGUUGCCAACAUGAAGAGGUCGAGGACAAGCGAAAUGUGGUCAUAUUUCGAAACUCUUGAUCGAGAGUUUGCGAAAUGUACUUUGUGCGGUAAGAAAUUAUCGUACAAAUCGACGACGACGAAUUUAAAAAAACAUCGUCAGAAAUCACAUUUAAUUCUGAAUUUCUCUUCACAAAGACCUUCGGAGCUAGAUUUGGGUGAAACCCUUCCUGUAGAGGUGAUCCUUGGCACCAGUAGUGUGGAAGAGGAGCGAGAGGCACACCAACACCAGCAGAUGAGUCUCCGUUUAAUACUUGGGAUAUUAUAACAGUAAGUUAUAGCUCCAGAAGUCAGUCACCAGCAGCAGAUGUCACACAGUUAUAAAAUGGGAAACUUGAAGAAUAAGCUACAGAAGUCAGCAGCAGCAGCAGCAGCAGCCGCCAUCACACAGCCAUAAUGCGAGAAGCUUGAAGAAUGAUGUGUUAUGGCUCCGAUAGUCUUCCAGCAGCAGCAAAUGUUACACAGUCCUAUAGAGGCAAACUUGAAGUAUAAAGUAAUAGUGUUUUGCAUACAAUGGCAAACUUGACCUUUCGCUUAAAAUGGAGUAUCGGCUUUGAAAUUUGGUCACUGGAUACAACUAUAUUAUCUUUCAUGUUGAUAGCAGCAAUCAUCAGAUUGCAAUCCAGUGAAGUACCUGUGAGGCAUGAGAUGUCAAAAAUACUUGUGG